GUCGAACGCUUUUUCUUUCACCGGAGCUUGCUCCACCGAAAGAAAAGGAGUGGCGAACGGGUGAGUAACACGUGGGUAACCUGCCCAUCAGAAGGGGAUAACACUUGGAAACAGGUGCUAAUACCGUAUAACAAUCGAAACCGCAUGGUUUCGGUUUGAAAGGCGCUUUUGCGUCACUGAUGGAUGGACCCGCGGUGCAUUAGCUAGUUGGUGAGGUAACGGCUCACCAAGGCAACGAUGCAUAGCCGACCUGAGAGGGUGAUCGGCCACAUUGGGACUGAGACACGGCCCAAACUCCUACGGGAGGCAGCAGUAGGGAAUCUUCGGCAAUGGACGSAAGUCUGACCGAGCAACGCCGCGUGAGUGAAGAAGGUUUUCGGAUCGUAAAACUCUGUUGUUAGAGAAGAACAAGGAUGAGAGUAGAAUGUUCAUCCCUUGACGGUAUCUAACCAGAAAGCCACGGCUAACUACGUGCCAGCAGCCGCGGUAAUACGUAGGUGGCAAGCGUUGUCCGGAUUUAUUGGGCGUAAAGCGAGCGCAGGCGGUUUCUUAAGUCUGAUGUGAAAGCCCCCGGCUCAACCGGGGAGGGUCAUUGGAAACUGGGAAACUUGAGUGCAGAAGAGGAGAGUGGAAUUCCAUGUGUAGCGGUGAAAUGCGUAGAUAUAUGGAGGAACACCAGUGGCGAAGGCGGCUCUCUGGUCUGUAACUGACGCUGAGGCUCGAAAGCGUGGGGAGCAAACAGGAUUAGAUACCCUGGUAGUCCACGCCGUAAACGAUGAGUGCUAAGUGUUGGAGGGUUUCCGCCCUUCAGUGCUGCAGCUAACGCAUUAAGCACUCCGCCUGGGGAGUACGACCGCAAGGUUGAAACUCAAAGGAAUUGACGGGGGCCCGCACAAGCGGUGGAGCAUGUGGUUUAAUUCGAAGCAACGCGAAGAACCUUACCAGGUCUUGACAUCCUUUGACCACUCUAGAGAUAGAGCUUCCCCUUCGGGGGCAAAGUGACAGGUGGUGCAUGGUUGUCGUCAGCUCGUGUCGUGAGAUGUUGGGUUAAGUCCCGCAACGAGCGCAACCCUUAUUGUUAGUUGCCAUCAUUUAGUUGGGCACUCUAGCGAGACUGCCGGUGACAAACCGGA
rnacentral:rRNA from 1 species